GCGGGCGUAGCUCAGUGGUAGAGCACAACCUUGCCAAGGUUGGGGUCGCGAGUUCGAGUCUCGUCGCCCGCUCCA
rnacentral:tRNA from 2 species